GCGGAUUGUAUUUUAUUGGAUUAAGGUUGCAAGCCCUCUGAAACCAGGCUGAAUUGGAUUACUGUUUAAAAAGAUCACACCGAGGAAGUAUUGAUAACACACACACUUCAAAUAUCUCAGCCAGAUAGUUGCCGGAGAGAAAGGCCUGGAACUUAGUUGAAAAUUUAGAGGACUCAGUGGGGAAAGGCCUCGAUAGAGAGAUCCUGUACUAUUUUCAGAGUUCAGUGGGUUCCUGGGAAAGGGGUGACCUUUAACCUUUCAAAGGACAUUUAUUUGGGAAACUCAGAACAGCAUUCACUUUGGGGGGGGGGGUGAAAGAAGGGGUGGAAUGGUGUGAAAAUAUUUACUUUAAUAGGUCCCGGGUGAUUUAGGGACGUUUGGAGUCGGUUGGUCUGGGAGGUGGGCGAGGGUCCAGUCCCAGGGAAGGCGGAAGGCGGCACCUGGGAGGUUCUGAGAACAUGUCUCAGUGGUGGAAGGGUCGUGGGGAAAAGUAGAGUUCAGCGUGGGUUUCUGUCCUUACGUGCAGGGCUAUGAGAGGAGGUGCAGAGGAGUCGCACGGGCUGUUUCCCGCUCCGGGAGAACGCCGGCUGCGCCCGCGUCGUAGCCCCUCUCCCGAGGUGGCGAGCGCUCCGCUCCUCCCGGCCCGGCCGCGGCCCUCCCGCCCCGGCGGAGCCGCGCGGUGGAUUGUGGGCUGGGGGCUGCGGCGGCCUGGCGGCGGCCUCCGGCGCUGCCUCCCCCCGACUUAGUCGGGCCGACCCGGGUCGGCGGGGCGAGGAGAAGCAGUGAGCAGGCAGCAAGAAGUCCUAAGGGUAGUGGUCGCGGCGCGGCGGCGGCGGCGGCGGCGGCGGCGGCGACUCCUCUGGAGGCCGGGGAUGUGGGAGAGGCGGUGGCAGCAGCGGCGGAGGCGGCGCUGCGGACCCGGGGGAAACUGCUGGCUGACAGGACACCCAGGAGAGACGUGAGGGAGCCGCUGCUGCCGCCUCUCACCCCACAGCGGAGCUGGGCUCAAGAGGGCGGCCCUCUGCACCCCCGGCGGACGGGCCAGCCGGCGCGGGGCGGAGGCGGGAAGCCGGGCUCGGGCCCGGCCGGGCUCCCAGCGGCAGCGGCCGCGGAGCAGCAGCCUCGGCGCGACGUGGAGGGCUGAAGGCAGCGACGAUGCACUAGGCCUCGCUCUGGGGCGGCUGCCCGGGACCCGCAGUUGAGUGGUGAUUUUAUGCAAUGGCUUCAAGCCACAGUUCUUCACCAGUGCCUCAAGGAAGCAGCAGUGAUGUUUUCUUUAAAAAAGAGGUAGAUCCGACAAAACACAUUCGACCUGUGCAGUCACUGCCAGAUGUGUGUCCCAAGGAACCCACAGGUGAUUCAAAUAGUUUAUGUGUUGCCCCAUCUCUAGUUACAGAUCAACAUAGAUGGACUAUAUAUCAUUCCAAAGUUAAUCUUCCAGCAGCAUUAAAUGAUCCUAGAUUAGCAAAAAGAGAAUCUGACUUCUUCACAAAAACAUGGGGAUUGGACUUUGUGGACACUGAAGUCAUACCUUCACUCUACCUCCCACAGAUCAGCAAGGAACAUUUUACAGCGUAUCAACAGGAAAUCUCUCAGAGAGAGAAGAUUCACGAGAGAUGCAAGAAUAUUUGUCCUCCUAAAGAUACCUUUGACAGAGCUCUCUUACAUACUCAUGAUAAAUCCAGGACAGAUCUGGAGCAAGUACCUAAGAUUUUUAUGAAACCAGAUUUUGCCUUGGACGAUUCCUUAACUUUUAAUUCAGUUUUACCAUGGUCUCAUUUUAAUACUGCUGGUGGAAAAGGAAAUCGUGAUGCAGCUUCCUCAAAAUUGCUACAAGAAAAGCUGAGCCAUUAUCUGGAUAUUGUGGAAGUAAACAUUGCUCACCAGAUCUCUCUACGUUCAGAAGCAUUUUUUCAUGCAAUGACCUCUCAACACGAAUUGCAGGACUACCUCAAGAAAACUUCCCAGGCUGUAAAAAUGCUUCGAGAUAAAAUUGCACAGAUUGACAAAGUAAUGUGUGAAGGAUCACUACACAUUUUAAGACUGGCACUUACCAGAAAUAAUUGUGUUAAAGUGUACAAUAAACUGAAGUUAAUGGCCACUGUACACCAGACUCAGCCUACAGUACAGGUGUUGUUAUCUACUUCUGAAUUUGUUGGAGCGUUGGACUUAAUAGCAACAACACAAGAGGUCCUACAGCAGGAACUUCAGGGCAUUCACGGCUUCCGGCAUUUGGGAUCACAGCUUUGUGAGUUAGAAAAGCUGAUAGAUAAAAUGAUGAUUGCAGAAUUUUCUACUUACUCUCACAGUGACUUAAAUAGACCGCUGGAAGAUGAUUGUCAAAUUUUAGAAGAGGAAAGAUUAAUAUCUCUUGUAUUUGGACUUUUAAAACAAAGAAAACUUAAUUUUUUAGAAAUCUAUAGUGAAGAAAUGAUUAUUACGGCAAAGAAUAUCAUUAAACAGUGUGUGAUUAACAAGGUUUCACAAAUAGAAGAAAUAGAUACAGAUGCGGUUAUGAAGCUUGCAGAUCAGAUGAGAAUGUUGAAUUUUCCUCAGUGGUUUGAUCUGCUGAAGGAUAUUUUCUCUAAGUUUACAGUUUUUCUACAGAGAGUUAAGGCAACAUUAAAUAUCAUUCACAGCGUUGUUCUCUCAGUUCUUGACAAAAACCAAAGAACUAGAGAAUUGGAGGAGAUUUCACAACAGAAGAAUGCAACAAAAGAUACUUCACUAGACACAGAGGUGGCUUAUUUAAUCCAUGAAGGCAUGUUUAUAAGUGAUGCAUUCAGUGAGAGUGAAUUAACACCUAUAGCAAUUGAUGCUACCUCUCAAAGAAAUGCAUCUCCAAAUAGCGAGCCCUGCAGCAGUGAUUCGGUAUCCGAACCAGAAUGUACUACUGAUUCUUCAUCCAGCAAAGAUCAGACAUCAUCAUCUGCUAUUGCAGGAGGUGUGGACAUUAUGGUGAACGAAGACAUGAAAUUAACUGACUUAGAACUAGGAAAGCUGGCAAAUAAUAUCCAGGAGUUAUUGUAUAGUGCCUCAGAUAUAUGCCAUGAUCGAGCUGUCAAAUUUCUCAUGUCAAGAGCAAAGGAUGGUUUUCUUGAGAAGCUAAAUUCCACGGAAUUCAUAACACUUUCUAGAUUAAUGGAAACAUUCAUUUUAGACACUGAACAGAUCUGUGGAAGAAAAAGCAUGUCAUUACUUGGAGCACUUCAGAGCCAAGCUAAUAAAUUUGUAAACAGGUUUCAUGAAGAGAGAAAAACCAAGCUCAGCCUCCUCUUAGACAAUGAGCGCUGGAAACAAGCUGAUGUUCCUGCAGAAUUUCAGGAUCUUGUUGAUUCUAUAUCAGAUGGAAAGAUUGCUUUACCUGAAAAAAAAUCAGGGGCUGCAGAAGAAAGGAAACCAGCUGAAGUUCUCAUUGUUGAGGGACAACAGUAUGCUGUAGUUGGAACUGUAUUGCUGUUGAUAAGAAUUAUCCUUGAAUAUUGCCAGUGUGUGGAUAAUAUCCCAUCUGUUACCACUGACAUGCUUACUCGUCUGUCAGAUUUAUUGAAGGUGCUGAACAUGACUGAGGCCACUUAGGUCCAAAAAACCUGGGCUGGUUUCUGAUGUGCUUGGAAGGAAUUCACUGAACUUUACAAAAUUCAUCUCAUUAAGUACUUCAAUUCAAGAAGUUGCCAGUUAGUUCUUGGAGCUGGUGCACUGCAAGUUGUUGGACUAAAAACAAUAACUACAAAAAAUUUGGCUCUUUCUUCGCGCUGUUUGCAGUUAAUUGUGCACUACAUUCCUGUGAUCCGGGCUCAUUUUGAAGCUCGACUGCAGCCUAAGCAGUAUAGCAUGCUUAGGCAUUUUGAUCAUAUCACUAAGGACUACCACGACCACAUAGCUGAAAUAUCAGCUAAGCUCGUAGCGAUAAUGGAUAGCUUAUUUGACAAGCUGUUGUCUAAGUAUGAGGUGAAAGCUCCCGUUCCUUCUGCCUGUUUCAGGAAUAUUUGUAAGCAAAUGGCAAAAAUGCAUGAAGCUAUAUUUGAUCUCCUUCCAGAAGAACAAACACAAAUGUUAUUUUUAAGAAUUAAUGCAAGUUACAAACUCCACUUGAAAAAGCAGUUAUCUCACUUAAAUGUGAUAAACGAUGGAGGACCUCAAAAUGGGUUGGUCACAGCAGAUGUAGCUUUUUACACUGGAAAUCUUCAAGCCUUAAAAGGCCUUAAAGAUUUGGACCUAAAUAUGGCCGAGAUCUGGGAACAGAAGAGGUGAUGACAUAUUGGAAAACUGGGUAGCUUAUCUGACCAUGGGAUGUAUGUGCUUGUGAAGAAAAUAUGGAUGCCUGUGAUUCAAGAACUGAACCUGGAACCCAAAGUGAACUGGGGUAGGGAAAGGGGCAAAGGAAAGUAUCAGUGUUGGGAAACUGGGAUUCAGUGGGGAUCGACAAGGAAUGCCAGUUUUGUGCUUCCUUCAGUGAGGAGUAACUGAUCAGGUGUCUAUAACAUUUUUCAUUCUCUCUGGAAACAGACUCAGGUUUCUUUGGACCAAAUCCAAAAGAACACAUAGCUGUAACACAGCUGUAGUUGACUAGAAUGCUCUGUAUACUUUAUAUUAAAAAAUGCUUUGCAUUUCUUUCAGUGCAAUGAAAUUCAUAUGGUGUCCCACCUUAUUUAAUGAUGGUACAAUUUAAAAUAUUAAAAUCUUAGUCAACCUCUGUAGAAAGUUUUCUCUAUGAAAGUAAAGCUGUUUGAAAAAUUAUUUUUUUACAGAUCUUUCUAUAAAAAAUAAACAUCUUUUGAUUGCUUGGAUUUAGGAAUUCAAUUUUUGUUUUAGUGACCAAUGUCGAUUCAGGCUUCGUAUGUCGCAUAUUUAAUCUUUCUAACCACUGCUGUAUGUCAACUGGGUAAAGCCUUCCUGAAUUGUCUAAAUACUUGAAAGGAUGAUCACAAGUAAUCAUUAAGAGAAUAAGAUACUGGCGUUUAUUUAUGCAACUAAUUUAAAUACUUUUCAGAAGUGGUAUACGAAAGCCUGCAGUUUAAUAGUUGUAUUUUUAUAAAAAUAUCUAUGAAGUUU